UGCCAGACUCCUACGGGAGGCAGCAGUGGGGGAUAUUGCACAAUGGGGGAAACCCUGAUGCAGCGACGCCGCGUGAGUGAAGAAGUAUUUCGGUAUGUAAAGCUCUAUCAGCAGGGAAGAAAAAAGACGGUACCUGACUAAGAAGCCCCGGCUAACUACGUGCCAGCAGCCGCGGUAAUACGUAGGGAGCGAGCGUUAUCCGGAAUUAUUGGGUGUAAAGGGUGCGUAGACGGGAAAGCAAGUUAGUUGUGAAAUCCCUCGGCUUAACUGAGGAGCUGCAACUAAAACUACUUUUCUUGAGUGCAGGAGAGGUAAGUGGAAUUCCUAGUGUAGCGGUGAAAUGCGUAGAUAUUAGGAGGAACACCAGUGGCGAAGGCGACUUACUGGACUGUAACUGACGUUGAGGCACGAAAGUGUGGGGAGCAAACAGGAUUAGAUACCCGGGUA
rnacentral:rRNA from 1 species